GACGAACCGUGCAAACGUUGUUCGGAAUCACUGGGCUUAAAGGGCGCGUAGGCGGCAGACCAAGUCCGGGGUGAAAUCUUUCGGCUUAACCGGAAAAGGGCCUUGGAUACUGGUUUGCUCGAGGGAGGUAGGGGCAUGUGGAACUUCUGGUGGAGCGGUGAAAUGCGUUGAUAUCAGAAGGAACGCCGGUGGCGAAAGCGACGUGCUGGAUCUCUUCUGACGCUGAUGCGCGAAAGCCAGGGGAGCAAACGGG
rnacentral:rRNA from 1 species